rnacentral:rRNA from 1 species
UACGUAGGGUGCGAGCGUUAAUCGGAAUUACUGGGCGUAAAGCGUGCGCAGGCGGUUGGUUAAGUCUGAUGUGAAAGCCCCGGGCUCAACCUGGGAAUGGCAUUGGAAACUGGCUGGCUAGAGUGUGGCAGAGGGGGGUGGAAUUCCGCGUGUAGCAGUGAAAUGCGUAGGGAUGCGGAGGAACACCGAUGGCGAAGGCAACCCCCUGGGCUAGCACUGACGCUCAGGCACGAAAGCGUGGGGAGCAAACAGG